UACGGGGGGGGCAAGCGUUGUUGCGGAAUUACUGGGCGUAAAGGGUUCGUAGGUGGCUUGUUAAGUCAGACGUGAAAAUCCCUCAGCUUAACUGGGGAACUGCGUCUGAUACUUGGAUGGCUUGAGUUUGGGAGAGGGAUGCGGAAUUCCAGGUGUAGCGGUGAAAUGCGUAGAUAUCUGGAGGAACACCGGUGGCGAAGGCGGCAUCCUGGAUCAACACUGACACUGAGGAGCGAAAGCCAGGGGAGCAA
rnacentral:rRNA from 1 species